rnacentral:rRNA from 1 species
CGGAUGAUCCAAGCGUUAUCCGGAAUCAUUGGGUUUAAAGGGUCCGUAGGCGGUCUAGUAAGUCAGUGGUGAAAGCCCAUCGCUCAACGGUGGAACGGCCAUUGAUACUGCUGGACUUGAAUUAUUAGGAAGUAACUAGAAUAUGUAGUGUAGCGGUGAAAUGCUUAGAGAUUACAUGGAAUACCAAUUGCGAAGGCAGGUUACUACUAAUGGAUUGACGCUGAUGGACGAAAGCGUGGGUAGCGAACAGGAUUAGAUACCCUGGUAGUCCACGCCGUAAACGAUGGAUACUAGCUGUUGGGCGCAAGUUCAGUGGCUAAGCGAAAGUGAUAAGUAUCCCACCUGGGGAGUACGUUCGCAAGAAUG